GACGAACGCUGGCGGCGUGCUUAACACAUGCAAGUCGAGGGCGGGGAGCAAUCCCUGACCGGCGAACGGGUGCGUAACACGUGAGCGACCUUCCGUCUUCUGGGGGAUAGCCGGCCCAACGGCCGGGUAAUACCGCAUACGCUCUGUGGGCUUCAUGGCCUAUGGAGGAAACUUCCGGGGGAGGACGAGGGGCUCGCGGCCUAUCAGCUAGUUGGUGCGGUAACGGCGCACCAAGGCGACGACGGGAGCUGGUCUGAGAGGAUGGCCAGCCACAUUGGGAUUGAGAGACGGCCCAGACUCCUACGGGAGGCAGCAGUGGGGAAUCUUGCGCAAUGGCCGAAAGGCUGACGCAGCGACGCCGCGUGUGGGAGGAAGCUCUUCGGGUGUAAACCACUGUUGCCCGGGACGAACAGCCCUUUUCGAGGGGCCUGACGGUACCGGGUGAGGAAGCACCGGCUAACUCUGUGCCAGCCGCCGCCGU
rnacentral:rRNA from 1 species